rnacentral:rRNA from 1 species
GACGGAGGGCGCGAGCGUUGUUCGGAAUCACUGGGCGUAAAGCGCGCGCAGGCGGGUGCGGAAGUCGGGGGUGAAAGGCCGGGGCUCAACCCUGGUAGGUUCUCUCGAUACUCCGUGCCUAGGGACCGGUAGAGGCCAGUGGAAUUCCCGGAGUAGCGGUGGAAUGCGUAGAGAUCGGGAAGAACACCAGAGGCGAAGGCGACUGGCUGGACAGUACCUGACGCUGAGGCGCGAAAGCUAGGGGAGCAAACAGG